rnacentral:rRNA from 1 species
UACGGAGGGUGCAAGCGUUAUCCGGAUUCACUGGGUUUAAAGGGUGCGUAGGCGGAUUAGUAAGUCCGUGGUGAAAUCUCCGAGCUUAACUUGGAAACUGCCGUGGAUACUAUUAGUCUUGAAUAUCGUGGAGGUAAGCGGAAUAUGUCAUGUAGCGGUGAAAUGCUUAGAUAUGACAUAGAACACCCAUUGCGAAGGCAGCUUACUACACGAUCAUUGACGCUGAGGCACGAAAGCGUGGGGAGCAAACAGG